UAGCGACACUCUGGAAAGUGUUUCAUUUCCUUGCGGAAAUGGGGCCGCCGAAGGGGUAACCCCGCGAUGCGCCACAACUAGGGGCGCGGGGGAAAGCUCUCAGGUUUCCGUGACAGAGGGGGCACC
rnacentral:ncRNA from 2 species